rnacentral:rRNA from 1 species
UCUACGGGUGGCAGCAGUGGGGGAUAUUGCACAAUGGGGGAAACCCUGAUGCAGCGACGCCGCGUGGGCGAAGAAGUAUUUCGGUAUGUAAAGCCCUAUCAGCAGGGAAGAAGAAAUGACGGUACCUGAGUAAGAAGCACCGGCUAAAUACGUGCCAGCAGCCGCGGUAAUACGUAUGGUGCAAGCGUUAUCCGGAUUUACUGGGUGUAAAGGGAGCGUAGGCGGUUUAGCAAGUCAGAAGUGAAAGCCCGGGGCUCAACUCCGGGACUGCUUUUGAAACUGUUGAACUAGAUUGCAGGAGAGGUAAGUGGAAUUCCUAGUGUAGCGGUGAAAUGCGUAGAUAUUAGGAGGAACACCAGUGGCGAAGGCGGCUUACUGGACUGUAAAUGACGCUGAGGCUCGAAAGCGUGGGGAGCAAACAGGAUUAGAUACCCCAGUAGUC